GGGCUCAUAGUAUAGUGGCAGUACGCCGCAUUCGCAUUGCGGAGACGUGGGUUCGACUCCCGCUGAGUCCA
rnacentral:tRNA from 5 species